AUUGAACGCUGGCGGCAGGCCUAACACAUGCAAGUCGAGCGGAUGAAGGGAGCUUGCUCCUGGAUUCGGCGGCGGACGGGUGAGUAAUGCCUAGGAAUCUGCCUGGUAGUGGGGGAUAACGUCCGGAAACGGGCGCUAAUACCGCAUACGUCCUGAGGGAGAAAGUGGGGGAUCUUCGGACCUCACGCUAUCAGAUGAGCCUAGGUCGGAUUAGCUAGUUGGUGGGGUAAAGGCCUACCAAGGCGACGAUCCGUAACUGGUCUGAGAGGAUGAUCAGUCACACUGGAACUGAGACACGGUCCAGACUCCUACGGGAGGCAGCAGUGGGGAAUAUUGGACAAUGGGCGAAAGCCUGAUCCAGCCAUGCCGCGUGUGUGAAGAAGGUCUUCGGAUUGUAAAGCACUUUAAGUUGGGAGGAGGGGCAGUAAGUUAAUACCUUGCUGUUUUGACGUUACCAACAGAAUAAGCACCGGCUAACUUCGUG
rnacentral:rRNA from 1 species